ACCUACUGUUUAAUUUUGAGGGUUCGUUUUUACGAAUACUCAAAAUUAGCACUUUAAGCAACAGAAUAAACUGAACGCAUGUGAAGUUUGUUUGUUGGCGCUGUGCGUUAGCACUUUAAGCAACGGAAUUUAUUCGUUGGCGCCGUGCUUUAGCACUUUGAAAACUGCAUAUAUAUUUAGUGAUAUGACAUCUAAUUUGUAAUAUAUAAAGCUGAUAACUUUUUAAAAUUAUCGAAGUUGAUAGCUUCUAAUCUAUCAAACCUUUUUAACUGGUCAA
rnacentral:misc_RNA from 1 species